rnacentral:rRNA from 1 species
ACGCUAGCGGGAGGCCUAACACAUGAAGCCGAGCGGUAUUUGUUCUUCGGGACAGAGAGAGCGGCGUACGGGUGCGGAACACGUGUGCAACCUGCCUUUAUCUGGGGGAUAGCCUUUCGAAAGGAAGAUUAAUACCCCAUAAUAUAUUGAAUGGCAUCAUUCGAUAUUGAAAACUCCGGUGGAUAGAGAUGGGCACGCGCAAGAUUAGAUAGUUGGUGAGGUAACGGCUCACCAAGUCAAUGAUCUUUAGGGGGCCUGAGAGGGUGAUCCCCCACACUGGUACUGAGACACGGACCAGACUCCUACGGGAGGCAGCAGUGAGGAAUAUUGGACAAUGGGUGCAAGCCUGAUCUAGCCAUCCCGCGUGAAGGACUAAGGCCCUAUGGGUUGUAAACUUCUUUUAUACUGGGAUAAACCUACUUACGUGUAAGUAGCUGAAGGUACAGUAUGAAUAAGCACCGGCUAACUCCGUGCCAGCAGCCGCGGUAAUACGGAGGGUGCAAGCGUUAUCCGGAUUUAUUGGGUUUAAAGGGUCCGUAGGCGGAUUCGUAAGUCAGUGGUGAAAUCUCAUAGCUUAACUAUGAAACUGCCAUUGAUACUGCGAGUCUUGAGUGAGAUUGAGGUAGCUGGAAUAAGUAGUGUAGCGGUGAAAUGCAUAGAUAUUACUUAGAACACCAAUUGCGAAGGCAGGUUACCAAGUCUUAACUGACGCUGAGGGACGAAAGCGUGGGGAGCAAAC